rnacentral:lncRNA from 1 species
CCUGCCAUGUGCCAGGACCAUCUGGACUGGAAGAAGGUGUAUGGAAAAGGUGACAAUCAGGAUAUCAGAUAAUCCAACGCUGGAUGGGAGUAUAAACUGGAUGCAUGACCAAAGAACAGAGUAUCCUCGAGGACAGGAAUCCUGGCCUCAAAGCAGUCAUGGCAAAGAGCAAGUGGAAGACAAUUUCUGCCCAGCUGUCCCAUGGCCAGUGGGGGAAAGGAUACCUGUUUUUAUAAAGCCAGGUAUGCUGAAGUCAGAGUUUCCAAUUCUGAUGUGCUGCAAGAAUGUCUGCUAACUGUAUGGGUGUAAAUAGCAGGUGAGCCCACAAGACAAAUCCAGAUCCUUCAUAA